GCAACUCGACUGCAUGAAGCUGGAAUCGCUAGUAAUCGCGAAUCAGCAUGUCGCGGUGAAUACGUUCUCGGGCCUUGUACACACCGCCCGUCACACCAUGGGAGUCGGCAACACCCGAAGUCAGUAGGCUAACGCAAGAGGCCGCUGCCGAAGGUGGGGUUGACGAUUGGGGUGAAGUCGUAACAAGGUACC
rnacentral:rRNA from 1 species